rnacentral:rRNA from 1 species
CCCUUAGACGUUCUGGGCCGCACGCGCGCUACACUGACCAGUGCAACAAGCAUCCGUCCUUGGCCGACAGGCCCGGGCAAUCUUUGAACGCUGGUCGUGAUGGGGAUAGACUUUUGCAAUUUUUGGUCUUCAACGAGGAAUUCCUAGUAAACGCAAGUCAUCAACUUGCAUUGAAUACGUCCCUGCCCUUUGUACACACCGCCCGUCGCUCCUACCGAUCGAAGAGUUAGGUGAAUUGUUUUGAUCGAUAAGAUUUGACUAUGGUCAACUCUCGUUGUGAAAUUCUGUGAAUCUGACUGUUUAGAGGAAGGAAAAGUCGUAACA